GCCUGGGUGGCUCAGUCGGUUAAGCGUCCGACUUCGGCUCAGGUCAUGAUCUCGCGGUCUGUGGGUUCGAGCCCCGCCUCAGGCU
rnacentral:tRNA from 1 species